UGGGGAAUAUUGCACAAUGGGCGAAAGCCUGAUGCAGCGACGCCGCGUGAGGGAUGACGGCCUUCGGGUUGUAAACCUCUUUCAGCAGGGAAGAAGCGAAAGUGACGGUACCUGCAGAAGAAGCGCCGGCUAACUACGUGCCAGCAGCCGCGGUAAUACGUAGGGCGCAAGCGUUGUCCGGAAUUAUUGGGCGUAAAGAGCUCGUAGGCGGUUAGUCGCGUCUGCUGUGAAAACUCGAGGCUCAACCUCGGGCUUGCAGUGGGUACGGGCUGACUAGAGUGCGGUAGGGGUGACUGGAAUUCCUGGUGUAGCGGUGGAAUGCGCAGAUAUCAGGAGGAACACCGAUGGCGAAGGCAGGUCACUGGGCCGCAACUGACGCUGAGGAGCGAAAGCAUGGGGAGCGAACAGGAUUAGAUACCCUGGUAGUCCAUGCCGUAAACGUUGGGCACUAGGUGUGGGUCCAUUCCACGGAUUCCGUGCCGCAGCAAAGCGCAUUAAGUGCCCCGCCUGGGGAGUACGGCCGCAAGGCUAAAACUUAAAGGAAUUGAC
rnacentral:rRNA from 1 species